UUGUUUCAAUAAUAUGUCUCUGUGUGCGUGCAGGUUGAGGGAACAGAAUAAAAAUCCUCUGGGAAAUCAACACUUCCUUGUGCUUUGGUUGCCAAAGAAAGGACUUCUGCAAAGGAGUGAAUGAAAGGACCUGCAAACAACUGAGGGAUAAAUCUCCCCAACUGCUUUAAACCAAUUUCAAUGGAAGUGCUGCAGGACCUGAUGAGAAAAACUUUCCCUGUUCAAAAUGAGAAAAUGCACUCUCCAUAUGAGUCAAGAGAGAGAGAACUAUGCCAAGGAAUGUAAAUGAAGUCGGUGCAGAUUUACAGUUUAGAGUUUGAGAUCCCAGAUGUUCCUUUAUCAGCACUGGAGGGGAAUCAAAAUUAUAAGUAGGAGAAUAUCACAGGACCUGCUGCAGCUCCCCGUCUGGAUGCCCCACAACCACUCAUGUCAAUUACCUGAAGCUCUUCCUAACCAUGUACUUCCCGAUGACUUCCUGUGA
rnacentral:lncRNA from 1 species